UAGAAAACGUUGAAGGAAAUAACGAUUUGAAAUUGGUGACAGAGAAUUAGCGGGUGGUGUGAGCUGAUCGAGAUUUCUAAUUGUUAAUCGUUCCUGAGUUACCGGCUGAAACCAAGUAAGCUGAGGUUGGCUGCCAUCCAUUAUUUUGGCCACAAAUGAUUGUUUGUGAAUGAGAGGAUUGACUACGAGUUGAUCAAAGUAGGAUGGUACCGCGCAGAAGCGUUCUUACA
rnacentral:ncRNA from 1 species